ensembl:lncRNA
GGACAUGUUAGAAUACAAAGUGACCAAAAUAGAAGACUUGCCAUUAGAUAUUUUUCAGACGUCAGCAGAUUUGUGGCAAAUCAUUUGCCUUUUUUAAAAUUCAGCUUAAGUGGUUCAGACAGUAGACUACUCAGAAAAAAAUUAUUUGACAUAAUUGUCUAAGAGGUAAAUAUUUUUUAGUGCAUAUUGAAUCAAAUAAAAUGCUCUAAAGAAAUUAUUGUACAAGUUCUUUUGGGUUGUUUUUCUUUUCUUUAACAAGUGGUGGGGGUAAACAUGAAUAUGAUUCAGGCCCUCUGAUGGUGUACUUAAACAGUAUUGGUUUUAUUAUUGCUAUUGACUUCCUUCAUUCUGUGGCCUCCUUUUAACUUCUCUUUCAUUUUUAUUAAAAUUAAAUUUCAAACUUCAAAACGAUACCAAACUGUUUUAUCAUUUUACUCAAAUUUCAAGUUCAUAAGAAGAGUUUUCUUAUAAGAGGGAGAAAAUUGUUUAAAAAUGCUGUUAUGUAUGUGCAUUUCCCUCUUGCCCACAACAUGAUUUCAACUGAUCAGGAGACAUACCUAAGGGCGGCACGUUUUGGAAAAGUGAUGAGUAGCAGUAUAACUUCAUUUUGUCAAGCUAUUGAGUUCUGAUAUUUUAUAACUGUUCUUCAUAUGAAUUCUUUCCACGAUUCUUAGCUAAUAAGUCAUAUAUAGGUUCUACCAACAGGGAGAAAAACAAAAUUUUAAAUAAAUAUUUCUUGAUAUUUGGGGCCUUGAAAGAUAAUGUGUUCCCUUAGAAAUAUUUCCAUGUUAGAUGGAGGUUUGGGAUUUUUUUCUUUCUUUUAAUUUAAGCUUGGUUCUUAAAAAGCUAUUUUAUUGUCAACAUUUAAUAGGCUCCAUUUCUGUUAACAAAAGAUAAUUCAUACUGCUGAGGAGUUACCAUUAAAUUAAUAGCUGUCAACAAAUCAUCACUAAAAUGAAGGUGUUCACUUUAGAUUUCCUUAAAGCUUUUCUCUUACACUAUGAUCACCAUGCUUCUAAGCUUAUUUGUUUAGCACUGUCUAAUGUAACUGUUAAAAAGUAUAAAAGCUUAAAUUGAUAUUCAAAUAGCUUACUUGUUUUUCUGUUAUGUUUUAGAAAGAUAAGUAAUGAUUCUUACUCCCUGCAGGCGGUUUGUUUUGAUACUCUCUUGCGUUUAUAUUCUUUGUUAAAAGACAGUGUUUUAGAUUUGGAGAUGUUAAUGUUUCCUUAAAAGCUUGCAAAGUUUUUGCCACACUUCAGUUUCCAUCUCCCAUCAGAACACUGAGAACAAAGUGUUCCUGAGUCUGUUCUGCUGGCCUUCAUUUGUAUUUUUUAGCACUUGGCUCAGCUGACUGAGUGAAGGAAUUGCUUUGCAAGGUGAAGCCUGUGCAUGUUCCAAAGUAUGGUUAGAUUGUAGAUUGUGCUCUGUAUAGAAACAUCAAAUCAUUACCACAGAGAAGUGAUAAGGCAUUGGAUCCACUGCUGAAGUAAUUCUUUUUGGAAUCAAUAAGGUACUGUCUGACUUUGUUUCUCAUGGAAGGGAAUUUUAAAUACAUUUUAAAAUCAGUUAAUUCUCACUUUCUGUUGUAAGUUUUUGAGAUUUUUUAGUUUAUCCAAAGAAAUAAUGCUUUUAAAUAGAAGCAAAAGGUUUAUAGUGUGCAAAUUGUAGAUUUAUCAAUUACCUCAGCAGGUAUUCUGCCAUGCAGUUAUUAGUGAUUUUGUGUUAAUAAGCCAGUAGAUUUAGGUCUUUUGACUAUGCCCUUGGAUUGUGGCCUACCAUAUGUUAUUAAACAGUCUAUUAGAAUCCGAAAGGGGAAUAGAUGCUGUGGCCCCCUCUCCCUUGGCCUUUUAAGACCCUUUCCCACUCACAUACAACACAGGAAGUAUAAAAAUCUCAUUUUUGUUGAAGACAGCACUGUUUGUUUGCAACUCAAACAAGCAUUAGAUCAUUGAGUAGUUUUAUAAAAUCCACCCACUCCAUCUCCCGUAGUUAAAACAAUCAAAUUCUUAAUUCAUACCAUCUUUAUUAGUAGUCUGCUAAAGGUGAUCCAAGGUUUUCAAGGUGUCUCACAGUUUGAUCGUCUACCAGACCUGGAUGUUUUCUUUUAUUUCUCUCACAGUUAUCUCCCCCUUGAUAAAGCAAUAACACUGCUUUAAGUCUGUUGCCUAAUAGCAUGUCAUAAUCCUCUCCUGGAUGGUGAUUUUAUAGGAAAGUUUGUAUGCAUAUUGCCCAGUCUAUCUUUUAAAAAUUAAGAAAUUUAAAUGUAUGCUGGAGCUAAUGACAAUAUAUUGUGGCAUUUUAUUUUAAAAAUUGGGGAAAGUUGCAUAUUUUUUUAAAAGUAGGUGUUUGAGUGAAAAAUUGAAGGUA